AGAGGCCCUCCGCGGCUGGGGUAGAAUGCUUGCCUCAUCACCACAGCGACAAAGCAAGCAUUCCACCAGGCUGCUCACGCUGCCCAC
rfam:Myotis brandtii contig165421, whole genome shotgun sequence.